AAGUGUUACAGCUCUUACAGAAUUUGUCUAGCAGGUUUUCUAGUGCCAGAAUCCUGU
rnacentral:snRNA from 1 species